AACACUGUUAACCUGCGGUACCUGCGGAAGGAUCAUUACCGAGUUUACAACUCCCAAACCCCUGUGAACAUACCAAUUGUUGCCUCGGCGGAUCAGCCCGCUCCCGGUAAAACGGGACGGCCCGCCAGAGGACCCCUAAACUCUGUUUCUAUAUGUAACUUCCGAGUAAAACCAUAAAUAAAUCAAAACUUUUAACAAUGGAUCU
rnacentral:misc_RNA from 1 species